rnacentral:rRNA from 1 species
UACGCAGGGUGCAAGCGUUAAUCGGAAUUACUGGGCGUAAAGCGUGCGCAGGCGGUUCUAUAAGACAGAUGUGAAAUCCCCCGGGCUCAACCUGGGAACUGCAUUUGUGACUGUAGAGCUGGAGUACGGCAGAGGGGGAUGGAAUUCCGCGUGUAGCAGUGAAAUGCGUAGAUAUGCGGAGGAACACCGAUGGCGAAGGCAAUCCCCUGGGCCUGUACUGACGCUCAUGCACGAAAGCGUGGGGAGCAAACAGG